rnacentral:rRNA from 1 species
CCUACGGGAGGCAGCAGUCGAGAAUCAUUCACAAUGGGGGAAACCCUGAUGGGGCGACGCCGCGUGGGGGAAUGAAGGUCUGCGGAUUGUAAACCCCUGUCAUGUGGGAGCAAAUUAAAAAGAUAGUACCACAAGAGGAAGAGACGGCUAACUCUGUGCCAGCAGCCGCGGUAAUACAGAGGUCUCAAGCGUUGUUCGGAAUCACUGGGCGUAAAGCGUGCGUAGGCGGUUUCGUAAGUCGUGUGUGAAAGGCCCGGGCUCAACCCGCGGACGGCACGUGAUACUGCGAGACUAGAGUAAUGGAGGGGGAACCGGAAUUCUCGGUGUAGCAGUGAAAUGCGUAGAUAUCGAGAGGAACACUCGUGGCGAAGGCGGGUUCCUGGACAUUAACUGACGCUGAGGCACGAAGGCCAGGGGAGCGAAAGGGAUUAGAUACCCUUGUAGUC